rnacentral:rRNA from 1 species
UACAGAGGGGGCAAGCGUUGUUCGGAAUUACUGGGCGUAAAGCGUGCGCAGGCGGUUUUGUAAGCCAGAUGUGAAAUCCCCGGGCUUAACCUGGGAAUGGCAUUUGGGACUGCAAGGCUUGAGUGCGGCAGAGGAGACUGGAAUUCCCGGUGUAGCAGUGAAAUGCGUAGAUAUCGGGAGGAAUACCGAUGGCGAAGGCAGGUCUCUGGGCUGACACUGACGCUCAUGCACGAAAGCGUGGGGAGCAAACAGG